rnacentral:lncRNA from 1 species
CAUAAAUUCUACUUUGACAGUUCUUAUCUCUCUUUUAAACUAUUCAGAAUAUUCUGCUGUAAUUCCAUGGCAUCUUAGAAAUUUAUGGGACCUACUGUCCCAUUAGAUAUCUACUGAUUUUUCUUUGUCUUACAAAAUUUAUUCAUAGAUUUUGGGAUUCAUUUAACUAAUCUAGGUGCCACAUUUACUUCUGCUAUUAAUACAUUCAUUGUUGGUUUAUAUGCUUAUGUUUAAGGUAUUUAACUGAGUUCUUCCUUCUGAGAUCUUUGGUAAUAGAAUUCUCUGUUCCUUAUAUUUCCUUAUCAUUCAACUUCAGAUUCAUUCUCCCUGAUGAGUUUCCUCCAGGGCUAUAUCUCAAAACUAUCUCAGUCUCCUUGUAAUCCUAGGGAUUCAUUUUCACUGGCGAUCUUGGCUCAAGUGAUUUCUUGGGAUAUAGACCUGACCUCAGCUGGAUGUCAGUCCCCUUUCCUAAAGGCCUAGUGGAGUGCCACACACACACUGGUUUCUGCCCCAUUUCCCUCUAUUCCUUUGUUUUCUGAGUUCUGUUACAGCAUGUGGCAUUGCUAUAAAGCCAUCUAGCCAAAACAUGCUUUUGCUUUCUUUCUUUCUUCCCUCUUUUCUUUCUUUCUUUCUUUCUUUCUUUCUUUCUUUCUUUCUUUCUUUCUUUCUUUCUUUCUUUCUUUCUUUCUUCCUUCCUUCCUUCCUUCCUUCCUUCCUUCCUUUCUUCUUCUUCUUUCUUCUUCUUCUUCCUUCCUUCUUCUUUCUUCUUCUUUCUUUCUUUCUUUCUUCCUUUCUUUCUUCCUUUCUUUCUUUCUUUCUUUCUUUCUUUCUUUCUUUCUUUCUUUCUUUCUUUCUUUCUUUCUUUCUUUCUUUCUUUCUUUCUUUCUUUCAUACAGACCUCUGAUUUCAUUGUGUAAGAAUAUUCAGGGGUGGAACUCUCACAAAAGAAAUUCUCUCUGCCAAUGCAAAUAGACACUUGUCCCACAAAGAGGCAUUUAUUCUAGUCCUAAUGAGUUGCUUAGGGACAUGGAAAUGUUAAGUUACUUCUCCUGAGUCAUACAGUUAGUGAACCAAGUGAAGAGUGGAACCCAAAUAUUUUUGAGACUGAGACCAGGACUUUCCCCCUCAAACUAGUCUUUUUCAUCAUUCCUUAGAGCAAAAUAAUAUUUCAUCAUAUUCAUAAAAUUUAUUCAGCCAUUCCCCAUUCAUUGGGCAAAUAAUUUGUGUAUAGUUUUGUUUUGUUCUAACUUUUAUCUUCCAACUUGGAAUCAAUACUCUAUAAUGGUUUCAAGAAAGAAGAGUAGUGAGGGUUAUGCAACUGAGAUUAAGUGACUUGCCCAGGGUAAUACAGCUAGGAAGUGUCUAAAUCCUGAUUGGAACCUAAGAACUCCUGUCUCUGGCUCACAAUUCACCUAUAGCUUUUUAC